rnacentral:lncRNA from 1 species
AAAAUUAUGGGCAGAAAGACACUUUUUUGGACAGACAGGCAGACAAGGUGAUUGCAGUACACCUUCUACUCUAUGUAAGUGAAUGUAUUCUAGCAAUGAAAUAUAGAAUACAAUCUAUCGAUUCAGAAAUCAAAAAUGUAUCCACUGGAAAAGACUACUGUACUUCAGAAAUUAUUGCUAUGUUUUAUUAUUGGGAAAAAUGCCACAGG